UUGUUCAAUAGUAUUAUCUCUUUUUUUUUUUUCCCUCUGAAUUAAUUGUUUCAGAUUUAUCUAAUAUAUUGAGUUAAGAAUAGAACAUUGCAAAUUCUUCUCCAGAUGCCUGACAGCUCAGUGGCUUAAUAAUUAACUUUCUGGGGACUGAGACACUGUUUUUAUCCAAGAAAAAUGUGUUCAGCCUGUCCACCAAUGAGCCCUGUUGGCAGCACCAAUUUCCACAAGCAACAAUCUACAGUGAUUAUGACAGAGCAAACUGAGACAUAAAGUUAUCCACAGGCGUUCAGAAAGCAGCUGGCAGAAUUCACCUGGAGCCUGGGAAUCCUGAUGUCCAUUCCUCCAGUUAACCCACAGCACCUCUGGUCACAGUUAUCCUUUUCCUGACUAUAGGAUUAUCCCAGAAGUAUUGAAGCUCUUCUAUGACAAGGUUGCUUUGUGUGCAGGUUCACAGUGGUGAAACAGCUGUACCAGCAGGAGUGUGUAACAGUGCUCUGUGGGCAUGUGGAAGACUGGAGAUUCAGCUACCUGUAGAAGUACAUGAUAUUGCCAUAAUUUGAUAAGUUUCCUGGAAUUAAUCUUGCCUCUUGAAUGGAAACCUUUGGAAGCAACUUGUAUGAGACACAUGGAAAAACUUCCACUUGCUUGAAGAAACAGAGAAAAUCAGCAUUACCAGCACUGUCCUGCAGGACAUGAUGAGGAAACAACGUGGCUAAAGGGACUGCAUGGAGUAUCUGUGCAUCAGUCACUAAUCCGUUCUGGAUGGAUGGACUUAGAAGUUAUCUUAGUGACUAACCACUGGAAAAUCCUGUGAUAUGGGAGCUCAUGCAUUUUUCUGUAGCCACAGCUGCAGUCAUUUCCCUUCAGAGACACAUCAUUUCCCCAAGACACAUCCUGUCUCAGAGGGCCACGGUGUCUCUGCUCCAAGCUCUGUCCCCUGUCGCAGGAGCCAGAGUAUGGGUGGAGAUUUCCUUCCUAGUUUCUUCUCCUGAAAAGCUUCAUCUCCAGCUCCAGCUUGAGGAAUGGAUUGAAUCUUGACCUCUUGCAUAAACAUUGUCUCUGCGUGCCAAAGGGAGCCUUAGUGAGAACCAGAGCCCCUGUCUAGACAUGUUUCUUCACCCCAGCACUCGGGUAGGUGUCUUCCACUGCGGGUUAACUCUCCUGGGCUCAGAGCAGCCACAGGGACAGAGGAAAAGCAGACUUUUAAACAUGUGCACCUCAGUGCUUUAGUGCAGUUUGUUCUGUUCACCAGCAGCGCAGACAAUGCUCCAGUCUGACAGUUUUCAUAAUCUGCAAAGGGGAAAAAAGGAAUCUUGUACAAAGGGAAACUUUCUGUUCCCAGUCUUUAUUCCCGAAACGCAGGAGCACUUUAUACAUGACCGCAGUGGGGUUUGGUCCUUUUGUACAGGGAAGGCAGCAGAAAAGGCAUCCCCACAGAGGACAGAAUUCCAUUCAGGAACAGGACAAAAAUGUGAUGGAUCUGCAAUGAGUUUAGGAAGUACUUUAGCGAUGGUGAGAAGUUAUGAUUGGCUUAGAGAAGGCUUAGAAUGAAAACCUGUGCCAAAGAGGCAGACUGGGAGAACAAUGCCCAUUGCAAGCAAAGGUGUUGAUGGAGCAGGAAUGCCUUGAAAGGGAAUGAGUUAAUCAGGCAAAUUAAGAAAGAGGCAGGGAACACUGGUGGUAAAAAUGUUCCUCAUUCUUCACAAUUUUUUAAAGAAUUUAUAUCUUGUUUUUGCCACAUUAACAAAGCUUUACAAAAAAUAUGAUAAGAAAGGGGAAAUAAUUUUGUAAACAUUUCAAAUGUAUUUAUUUUUAAAUUAAAUUGAACCUGUUAGAUAUAUAAAUCUUCGUGGGGCUGCUUAGGUGUAUUCUGCUGUAACACUUCUCAGAACUACACCAUUAGGUGGCAAAAUAGGCAUUUAGCAUUGACAGUUGCACAUACAAUGGAAAGACGUUGUAGAGAAAAAGAAAAUGGAAGUGUAAUUCUCUUCUGAUCAAUCAAUCUUUAGCUCCAUGAUCUCUAGGGGUGAUGUCUAUAUAAUUUCAACCAUGACAGGCUCUGGGAAAUUUUAGUAAAUGAAGACAAGUAGAAUGAAAUACAAUCCAGGUAAUUUUAAAUAUCUUUAUUUUUAAAAACUGCCUCAGGAAAAUAGUUUUAAUCUUUCAAUUUACUCACAAAAGCUUAAUAAUAGGGCAGAACUCUCUUGCUCUCUUGAUAACAUUACAGAAGCUGGGGAAGAAUGUGACAUAACACCAGCCAGCUCUCGUUACUGCUGAAGGAAUGUGCUGUGAUUAAACCUCUAUACAGAAAGAAAUGGAAUGUAAUUCUUAAACGUUGAUUUGCUUUGAACACAUACCACAUGCUGAGCAACGAGUUUCCAGUGUAUUCUUUCAGUUUCUAAAGAUGGGGAGGACCUCAUCUCCAAAAAAUUAACUUCCCCAAAAAAUUCCUCUUCUGGAAAUUAACACUACCUGGUUGAAGGUGUUUAUUCACAUUUCCCAGUGUCCAAACCCACUAAAUCCUUUGAGGACUAUCUGUGAGUGCAAAACCUUCUUUUUCUUCCUCUUGGGAAACUUAAUAAAUCAAAGCCCUUUUUUUUGUGCAGCCAUAGAAGAAAUUUUUGUAUUUCUAAACACUUCUUCAGAAGUUUCACUCGUGGGACACCAACUAUCACCUUAUUUUGUCCUCAUGGACUCCUCAACAGCCCUGUUGGUGUCCUAAAGAUGCCUCCACUUGCCCCUUCUCUGUGUUUCCUCCAAUCCUUUAGAUGGAGCCUCAGCUGUGAACUCCUGGCUGAGGAAGGCUGGAUGGAAUUCCCUCCUGAGCCCAGCAGCAAGGCUGUUAUCCAGCAGUGAGCUGUGGGGUGAUGCAAGGCACUCCCAUCCCUCUGGAUCCCAGCUGGCUACCUCAGCUUGAAAAGAUUUGUUGUUCAGUGAUAUCAGCCUGGAGUGAAACCUGGAGCACUUGUCAGCAGCUAAUGAUGGUUUUUGC